AUACGUAGGGUGCAAGCGUUAAUCGGAAUUACUGGGCGUAAAGCGUGCGCAGGCGGUUGUGUAAGACAGGUGUGAAAUCCCCGAGCUUAACUUGGGAAUUGCACUUGUGACUGCACAGCUAGAGUGCGGCAGAGGGGGAUGGAAUUCCGCGUGUAGCAGUGAAAUGCGUAGAUAUGCGGAGGAACACCGAUGGCGAAGGCAAUCCCCGUGGGCCUGCACUGACGCUCAUGCACGAAAGCGUGGGGAGC
rnacentral:rRNA from 1 species